rnacentral:rRNA from 3 species
UUAAGCGACUAAGCGUACACGGUGGAUGCCCUGGCAGUCAGAGGCGAUGAAGGGCGUGCUAAUCUGCGAUAAGCGCCGGUAAGGUGAUAUGAACCGUUAUAACCGGCGAUACCCGAAUGGGGAAACCCAGUGUGACUCGUCACACUAUCAUUAACUGAAUCCAUAGGUUAAUGAGGCGAACCGGGGGAACUGAAACAUCUAAGUACCCCGAGGAAAAGAAAUCAACCGAGAUUCCCCCAGUAGCGGCGAGCGAACGGGGAGGAGCCCAGAGCCUGAAUCAGCAUGUGUGUUAGUGGAAGCGUCUGGAAAGGCGCGCGAUACAGGGUGACAGCCCCGUACACAAAAGCGCAUGUGCUGUGAGCUCGAUGAGUAGGGCGGGACACGUGGUAUCCUGUCUGAAUAUGGGGGGACCAUCCUCCAAGGCUAAAUACUCCUGACUGACCGAUAGUGAACCAGUACCGUGAGGGAAAGGCGAAAAGAACCCCGGCGAGGGGAGUGAAAAAGAACCUGAAACCGUGUACGUACAAGCAGUGGGAGCCCCACCACCAAAGCAUUUGCUGUACCGCGUUGACGGAGCGAAGCGACGUCAAACCGAUAAAACAGCAGUGUAAAGUGAGCCGCAGGGCGCUUUGCGCGACAGCGCAAAGGCAGGCGGUUUCGCGUAGCGAAAGCGAAUGCUUUGGGGUGGGGUGACUGCGUACCUUUUGUAUAAUGGGUCAGCGACUUAUAUUCUGUAGCAAGGUUAACCGAAUAGGGGAGCCGGAGGGAAACCGAGUCUUAAUUGGGCGUUAAGUUGCAGGGUAUAGACCCGAAACCCGGUGAUCUAGCCAUGGGCAGGUUGAAGGUUGGGUAACACUAACUGGAGGACCGAACCGACUAAUGUUGAAAAAUUAGCGGAUGACCUGUGGCUGGGGGUGAAAGGCCAAUCAAACCGGGAGAUAGCUGGUUCUCCCCGAAAGCUAUUUAGGUAGCGCCUCGUGAAUUCAUCUCCGGGGGUAGAGCACUGUUUCGGCUAGGGGGCCAUCCCGGCUUACCAACCCGAUGCAAACUGCGAAUACCGGAGAAUGUUAUCACGGGAGACACACGGCGGGUGCUAACGUCCGUCGUGAAGAGGGAAACAACCCAGACCGCCAGCUAAGGUCCCAAAGUCAUGGUUAAGUGGGAAACGAUGUGGGAAGGCCCAGACAGCCAGGAUGUUGGCUUAGAAGCAGCCAUCAUUUAAAGAAAGCGUAAUAGCUCACUGGUCGAGUCGGCCUGCGCGGAAGAUGUAACGGGGCUAAACCAUGCACCGAAGCUGCGGCAGCGACACUGUGUGUUGUUGGGUAGGGGAGCGUUCUGUAAGCCUGUGAAGGUGUGUCGUGAGGCAUGCUGGAGGUAUCAGAAGUGCGAAUGCUGACAUAAGUAACGAUAAAGCGGGUGAAAAGCCCGCUCGCCGGAAGACCAAGGGUUCCUGUCCAACGUUAAUCGGGGCAGGGUGAGUCGACCCCUAAGGCGAGGCCGAAAGGCGUAGUCGAUGGGAAACGGGUUAAUAUUCCCGUACUUGGUGUUACUGCGAAGGGGGGACGGAGAAGGCUAUGUUGGCCGGGCGACGGUUGUCCCGGUUUAAGCGUGUAGGUGUGUGUUCCAGGUAAAUCCGGUUCACUUUAACACUGAGGCGUGACGACGAGGCACUACGGUGCUGAAGCAACAAAUGCCCUGCUUCCAGGAAAAGCCUCUAAGCAUCAGGUAACAUCAAAUCGUACCCCAAACCGACACAGGUGGUCAGGUAGAGAAUACCAAGGCGCUUGAGAGAACUCGGGUGAAGGAACUAGGCAAAAUGGUGCCGUAACUUCGGGAGAAGGCACGCUGACACGUAGGUGAAGUGAUUUACUCAUGGAGCUGAAGUCAGUCGAAGAUACCAGCUGGCUGCAACUGUUUAUUAAAAACACAGCACUGUGCAAACACGAAAGUGGACGUAUACGGUGUGACGCCUGCCCGGUGCCGGAAGGUUAAUUGAUGGGGUCAGCGCAAGCGAAGCUCCUGAUCGAAGCCCCGGUAAACGGCGGCCGUAACUAUAACGGUCCUAAGGUAGCGAAAUUCCUUGUCGGGUAAGUUCCGACCUGCACGAAUGGCGUAAUGAUGGCCAGGCUGUCUCCACCCGAGACUCAGUGAAAUUGAACUCGCUGUGAAGAUGCAGUGUACCCGCGGCAAGACGGAAAGACCCCGUGAACCUUUACUAUAGCUUGACACUGAACAUUGAGCCUUGAUGUGUAGGAUAGGUGGGAGGCUUUGAAGUGUGGACGCCAGUCUGCAUGGAGCCGACCUUGAAAUACCACCCUUUAAUGUUUGAUGUUCUAACGUGGACCCGUUACCCGGGUUGCGGACAGUGUCUGGUGGGUAGUUUGACUGGGGCGGUCUCCUCCUAAAGAGUAACGGAGGAGCACGAAGGUUGGCUAAUCCUGGUCGGACAUCAGGAGGUUAGUGCAAUGGCAUAAGCCAGCUUGACUGCGAGCGUGACGGCGCGAGCAGGUGCGAAAGCAGGUCAUAGUGAUCCGGUGGUUCUGAAUGGAAGGGCCAUCGCUCAACGGAUAAAAGGUACUCCGGGGAUAACAGGCUGAUACCGCCCAAGAGUUCAUAUCGACGGCGGUGUUUGGCACCUCGAUGUCGGCUCAUCACAUCCUGGGGCUGAAGUAGGUCCCAAGGGUAUGGCUGUUCGCCAUUUAAAGUGGUACGCGAGCUGGGUUUAGAACGUCGUGAGACAGUUCGGUCCCUAUCUGCCGUGGGCGCUGGAGAACUGAGGGGGGCUGCUCCUAGUACGAGAGGACCGGAGUGGACGCAUCACUGGUGUUCGGGUUGUCAUGCCAAUGGCACUGCCCGGUAGCUAAAUGCGGAAGAGAUAAGUGCUGAAAGCAUCUAAGCACGAAACUUGCCCCGAGAUGAGUUCUCCCUGAGACUUAGAGUCUCCUGAAGGAACGUUGAAGACGACGACGUUGAUAGGCCGGGUGUGUAAGCGCAGCGAUGCGUUGAGCUAACCGGUACUAAUGAACCGUGAGGCUUAACCUU